rnacentral:rRNA from 1 species
UUGGAGGGCAAGUCUGGUGCCAGCAGCCGCGGUAAUUCCAGCUCCAAUAGCGUAUAUUAAAGUUGUUGCAGUUAAAAAGCUCGUAGUUGAAUUUCGAGACCGGCUUAUUGGUCGUGCUAUUGUACGUACUGGUAUAAUCGGUUUCUCCUUUCUGACGAACUAUAAUGCCAUUAAUUUGGUGUUUUAGGGAAUCAGGACUGUUACUUUGAAAAAAUUAGAGUGUUUAAAGCAGGCUCACGCUUGAAUACAUUAGCAUGGAAUAACGGAAUAGGACGUUUGAUUCUAUUUUGUUGGUUUCUAGGAUCGACGUAAUGAUUAAUAGGGAUAGUUGGGGGCAUUAGUAUUCAAUUGUCAGAGGUGAAAUUCUUGGAUUUAUUGAAGACUAACUACUGCGAAAGCAUUUGCCAAGGAUGUUUUCAUUAAUCAAGAACGAAAGUUAAGGGAUCGAAGACGAUCAGAUACCGUCGUAGUCUUAACCAUAAACUAUGCCGACUAGGGAUCGGAUGAUGUUAAUUUUUUAAUGACUCAUUCGGCGCCUUACGGGAAAC